rnacentral:tRNA from 1 species
GCGCCUUUAGCUCGGUGGCUGGUGAGCAGUGGACUUUUAAUCCAUCGGUCGUGGGUCGAGCCCCGCCGGGCGCA